CCUUAUCGAGAGUGACGGAGGGAACAGGCCCGAUGAUGUCCGGCAACCUGCGACAAGCAAGGUGCCAAAUCCUGCGGUAGAAACCGGAAGAUGAGG
rnacentral:ncRNA from 1 species